CGGUCAGAUAGGUCGGAAGCCCAAAUGUUUUGUGUUCCAUUCAACAAUUUGACCGUUCUGACCGGUCUGGCCGUGUUAAUGGAAAGCGCCCAUAGUCACAUCAGGGCCUGGUCACAUACAUGCAUGUGCUCUCAUAUAGGCGUAUCGACAUAAAAAAUGGGGAUGGGAGGGGGGGGGGCACUACUUCGCCGACUAAGACGAAAAUUGCCCGACUUUAAGAACCCAAAUUCACACGUUGGGCCAUCAUACUCUCAUGUCUGUAUUACAAAGGCAUAAUAUCCAUUUGACAUUAACAAAAUUGUCCAACUGUUGCGAAAAUUGUUUUAUCAUUUAUGCCAAAGUAUAUCCAGCCCUCCCUUCCCCCGCCUUGCACGCCUACAUGUGCCACUGCUACACGCAGUGACUUGAAUUAGUUAAAAGCUCACUCCUGGAUGAAAGAAUUCCCCAAGGCACAAGUGAGCAUGUCUAUAGUCUUAGAGAAUGGUUGUAUCCACGAAGGGAUUUCAGUUAUAUUCACUUAAAUUAAUUCUAAGAGGGCUUUAGUAUGCCGGGAUUUAAAGUCCGAGUGCGUUUGGAAAGAGCGAGCCUUCCUAAGUCUCCAAAUGCACACGGGACGUUGAAUCCCGGUAGCCUCCUCUGUCUCGUAUUCUUAAAGUUGCCAAACUUCUAGUACUUUGAAAUUAUGUAAAUUAUUUGAAAGUAUCCUGUAAGAUGUCUUUCUCUGUGGUUUCAAAACACUAAUUUAUAUCGAUUUAAUAAGUUCUUUGUACGUUUACAUGGCGAUAAAACAUAUAAUAGUUUUGUUUGUGGAAACACUACGUAUAUUUAUUACUGCAAAUUUAC